CGGCUAUAUGACCAAAGAUCAGGUCUCCGACCAAACUUCCCUUAGCUACUUUGAAACAACACAUUUCACACUUAAUUAAAAGGGCUUAACGAUGCCAUAGUCUGUACACGCCUGACUUAUCCCUUAUUCAGGAUUGGUUAUUUUCUCAUACCGAAACGAACUUAGUUUCUCUAAUUCCAACCGGAGCGAUGUUGGGAACUUGCACUCCUGAUAACAAACAAAAGCUGGAUUCUAUCUCUUCCUUCUGUGAAGCGUAUCUCUUUGUUGGUUGAUUGGCUUGUGGUGCUGCUCUAACCACGCUGUGGAGUUGAACCACAGUUCUUCCUUACCUUUCGUGGUGAAAUUCCACUUCCCUUUUUCAUAGCUAUUAUGGAGGAACCGCUGCCCUCACUCAAUUCUAAUCUCGAAAUCUUUACCCGAUCAGGAAAU
rnacentral:lncRNA from 1 species